rnacentral:rRNA from 1 species
GACGGAGGAUGCAAGCGUUAUCCGGAAUGAUUGGGCGUAAAGCGUCCGCAGGUGGCAGUUCAAGUCUGCUGUCAAAGACCGGGGCUUAACUUCGGAAAGGCAGUGGAAACUGAACAGCUAGAGUAUGGUAGGGGCAGAGGGAAUUCCUGGUGUAGCGGUGAAAUGCGAAGAGAUCAGGAAGAACAUCGGUGGCGAAGGCGGGUCUCUGGGCCGAUACUGACGCUGAGGAGCGAAAGCGUGGGGAGCAAACAGG